rnacentral:pre_miRNA from 1 species
UUGACUCAAAUUUGUAUGCAGUUAGAACGUUUGCCUUCGUUUGCCGCUAGGGGCGCUGUUCCAACUACAUACAAAUUCGCGUUA